rnacentral:pre_miRNA from 1 species
AGUGGGAUAGCUGGGUCAUAUGGUGGUUCCAUUCCAAGUUUUUGAAGGAAUCUUCAUACAGCUUUCCAGAUUGUUUGCACCAAUUUGCAGUCCCACCAGCAAU